rnacentral:rRNA from 1 species
UCGAUUGAGUUUGAUCAUGGCUCAGAUUGAACGCUGGCGGCAUGCCUUACACAUGCAAGUCGAACGGCAGCACGGGGGCAACCCUGGUGGCGAGUGGCGAACGGGUGAGUAAUGCAUCGGAACGUGCCCAGUAGUGGGGGAUAACUAGUCGAAAGAUUAGCUAAUACCGCAUACGACCUAUGGGUGAAAGCGGGGGAUUCGCAAGAGCCUCGCGCUAUCGGAGCGGCCGAUGUCUGAUUAGCUAGUUGGCGGGGUAAAAGCCCACCAAGGCUUCGAUCAGUAGCUGGUCUGAGAGGACGACCAGCCACACUGGGACUGAGACACGGCCCAGACUCCUACGGGAGGCAGCAGUGGGGAAUUUUGGACAAUGGGCGCAAGCCUGAUCCAGCCAUGCCGCGUGCGGGAAGAAGGCCUUCGGGUUGUAAACCGCUUUUGGCAGGAACGAAACGGCGCGAGCGAAUAUCUCGCGUUAAUGACGGUACCUGCAGAAUAAGCACCGGCUAACUACGUGCCAGCAGCCGCGGUAAUACGUAGGGUGCAAGCGUUAAUCGGAAUUACUGGGCGUAAAGCGUACGCAGGCGGCUUUGCAAGACAGGUGUGAAAUCCCCGGGCCUAACCUGGGAACUGCAUUUGUGACUGCAUGGCUAGAGUUUGUCAGAGGGGGGUGGAAUUCCACGUGUAGCAGUGAAAUGCGUAGAUAUGUG